rnacentral:tRNA from 1 species
GCCUGGUUAGCUUAGUUGGUAGUGCGUCUGCCUUGUAAGCGCUAGGUCGCGGGUUCGAUUCCCGCCCCGGGCG